rnacentral:sRNA from 1 species
GCCGGGCAUGGUGGCGCAGGCCUGUGAUCCCAGCAGCUCGGGAGGCUGAGGCAGCAGGAUCGCGAGUUCAAAGCCAGCCUCAGCAACUUAGUGAGGCCCUCAGCAACUCAGUGAGACCCUGUGUCUA